UGGGGAAUUUUGGACAAUGGGCGAAAGCCUGAUCCAGCAAUGCCGCGUGUGUGAAGAAGGCCUUCGGGUUGUAAAGCACUUUUGUCCGGAAAGAAAUCCUUGGCUCUAAUACAGUCGGGGGAUGACGGUACCGGAAGAAUAAGCACCGGCUAGCUACGUGCCAGCAGCCGCGGUAAUACGUAGGGUGCAAGCGUUAAUCGGAAUUACUGGGCGUAAAGCGUGCGCAGGCGGUUUGCUAAGACCGAUGUGAAAUCCCCGGGCGUCAACCUGGGAACUGGCAUUGGUGACUGGCAGGCUAGAGUAUGGCAGAGGGGGGUAGAAUUCCACGUGUAGCAGUGAAAUGCGUAGAGAUGUGGAGGAAUACCGAUGGCGAAGGCAGCCCCCUGGCCAAGUACUGACGCUCAUGCACGAAAGCGUGGGGAGCAAACAGGAUUAGAUACCCCUGGUGGUCCACGCCCUAAAACGAUGUCAACUAGUUGUUGGGGAUUCAUUUCCUUAGUAACGUAGCUAACGCGUGAAGUUGACCGCCUGGGGAGUACGGUCGCAAGAUUAAAACUCAAAUGAAUUG
rnacentral:rRNA from 1 species